GGGCGGAACCAGCGACGGGAAAGGCCAGGCCAGGUGUCAGCAGCAAGUGCCGUGGGCACAGAGGUCAGUGCAUGAAGGGCACCCGGCCAACUCACAGGGGAGGAAGGAACUCCAGGCAAGAUGAGCUGGGACAGGACCCGCGGGAAACCCCGGAGAACUAACUCACCAGGGAGAAGCCGAGGGCAGAGGAGGCGCCAAUCAAAGCUGGGCUCCCCCAGUCAGAACACGCCCAGCUUUAAGCAGCAGGGCUCCCCUAACUAAUGGCCAACUAAGUCCUUAGAAACACGGCAGCGUGUUAAUGUGCAGACGUGGGCAGGCACGCACACCCGGGCCGGGAGAGACAGGCCUCGCUCAGCUGAGGAAUGGACCCACGGCUGGGCUUCUGGAGGGCAGGCAGUCCAGCACCGUGGGCAGAACCCGAGGAACACCCAUCCUGCAGUCCUGUGAGCCUGCUCCCGGGAGCCCUCGCAGGUGGAUGAAACCCGCACUAACACACCUGCUCCACGGCCACUUUCUGUGACGGGGACGGAAGCUCCUGGGGAUGCACAUGGUGAGAUAUUUGUCAGCCCAGGAGUGCUGGAUGACAUGGGGCCCGUAGGACAAAAAUAUUUGUUUAAAAGCACAAUUCCCAAUUUGGUUUAAAAUUGUUUUAACUUAAAAUAGGAGUUUGAUCAAAGUACAAAGUCUUUCUUUUUAGAAAAGCAAGUUUUUGUGGGCAAAGCAAUUAAUCAAAUAUUUAUUUACAUGACAUUAAGGCUUACACUUUUACUUAUGUUUAAGUCUAAUUGAAAUCAAGGUAAAUUUAUGGAAAUCAGCUUAACAGGAAAUAGCAGUCGGCCACCUGCCCUCAUAGAUGCAUCCUAAAUGGCCAUCUCUGACUGACCGUGUGUGGGGUGGGGUCUGGCUCUCCUCCCAGUGGGUGACAGGGAGCUGGCUCCAAGUGGCCUCAGCAAGGUGGCCCGCAUAGUGGACACGGCUCCCAUCUUUUUGGUGUGCACAGCGUCGUGAGCCCCGUGUUCCGUAGCACUUGGUGCCUCUGUCAAUUAAAACCCUUCACACGUGACCAAUUCCAGUGGGAGGAUAUGACCUGCAUCGACUCCUAAGGGACUCUGAGGUUGUCAUCUUUCCUUUCUUUUGUCUCUCCCACUUGGGCCCAGGAGUCACGUCUUCUAACGAAGCCACCCACGGUCCCCCCAGGUUCUGCUGCCGCCCUGUCUCUGCAGCCUGACCCUCGGUGCCUGUGGAGAGAUGCCAGGCCUCACCAGACUCAGUGGGGAGGGCGGAAUGAGGGCAGGGAUGACACAAAGGGACCAUCGUCCCCACCCGGUUACCACCAACGGGGGAGUGGAGGACGGGACAGGCCCACCAGGGCUGAUGCCCGAGGGAUGGCGAGGUCCCGGGAGACGCCUCACAGAGCACUUGAGAGGCUGCCACGCUCCUCCUGUUUUGUCCUUAGGUUUUUUUAACUGCAAGCUAAACAGAAUAGAAACCAGGCGGAUCCUGAGGUUGGUGAUGCGGAAGUCCAAGCCAUGGACCCUGAGCCCACAUUGAAGGGCAUCGGGUUUCCACUCCACUCCCACCUUCCUGUUACGGGCACUCCCCUCUGCCAUCAGGGUCCUCACGGGCACCCUGCUAGCCUCCUGCAGGGCACGAGAGCCACCAGUUCAGGACCUUGGUGUGGCCAGCUGGACCCUGCUGUAUAGAUGGCCCUAACUACUGGUACUGGCUAGUGCAACAGGCUGAGGGUCCAGUUGGACAGACUGGUAGGACCAGGUCAACCCCUGCCUGGCCACCCAAUACCCUGGACCCCUGCUUCCUGUCCCUCUGGGUCCCCACUGCGUCAAUGCGGGUGUGCUGGAUGUGCUCCCCAUUGGCCAGAUGCCAGCGUCCGGCAGAGUCCCACCAUCAGGAGGGCGAGGAGUGGACAUAAAACAAGGAAGAAGAGUUCCCCACACCAGGAGGGGAUGGAAUGUGCAUCCCUGACACACACGUGUGCACACGCACACAGGGGCACACCCCCACAUGCUUGCAGACACACACAUCUACAUGAUCACAAACACACAGAGAUGCACAUAGAAAUACACACCCCCAAACAGAUGCACACACACACAAGUACGCCCAGGCAUGCACACACACACACACACAGGUACACCCAGGCAUGCACAUACACACACAGAUGUACACCCAGGCAUGCACACAGACACACAGACACAGGUACGCCCAGGCAUACACACACACACACACACACACAGAGCCAAGCGAGAGCCAGUUCUGCCGGUAACAUAAAUCAAAUGAGUUGUAUUCCUCAGACAGGCUCAUUUUAAUAACUUUGCCCGCAGUCUUCUCUCAAAAUUCAUAUCUGUACCUGCGGCUUCCAGCUUUGCCCGUGGAAAUAGCAGCAGUUAAUAGGGAAAGGGCGGCCGUGCGCCCGACGCCGGGUACCGCUGCGUGACAGCUGCAUGAUGGCAGGAAGAAAGGUGUGCCAAGACAAAAGGAAUAAUCGGAGUGAGCGCCAGAACCAGCCCUGGAUUUAAAUGUUUAAAUGUUUUAAUUUAAAAGAACAAUGGCUCCUUGAAGUGUCUUCCCAGCCGCGGUGACAGCCUGCCAUUUAUUAAUCAGUGUUAAGUAACCAUGGCUCGGGUUUGACACCAAACAGAGAUGAUGUGUGCCGAUCCUAAAAUAGCAGCCACGUGGCAUGGCUGACUCCAGGUGACUCCAGCCAGCACACAGGCCCGGGACAGGCACUGCGCCAGCUGAGAGCACUGAGCGCGUGCUGGUGGGGCUCACCCUGCGCGGGGCUGCCGGGUAGCAGGGUGCUUCUCGCAUAGGUGGGGUGGGGGUCACUCAGCCAUCGUGUCCAGAAAUAAGCAGCAGGCGGAAGGUGCCAGGGCAGAGGUUCCCAUCCAGGAACCUGGGUCUCCAGGAGACAUUGUUGAUCAAUAUAAGGGGGGCGGAGGAGGACAAGGGGUGCUGCUAGGGUCCUCUGCUGGUGGAGCUCAGGGACACUGCCCAACACGCCACAGUGCACAGGAUGCCCCCACCCCAGGACAUUGCUCUGGUGAGGACUCUGUCCCCACCUCUGUAAGGAGCUGGUGUGCAUGUGCCUGGCCCCCAGCGUCUUGCACUCAUCCCAUGACGUCCACUCCUGCUCACGAUGCAGAAUUCAGAGCAGCCGGCUAUGACCGCUAAGUCGAGCCUGAGGGUCCACAUGGGCCACAGAGGAGUACCACUGCCACUCCCCCCGAGUCUCAAGAUCCGUGAUGUUUUUAAACUGAGCAUUUUCACAGCAGCAUGAGGAGCAGAGGGAACGUGGAGAGGCCACACUGACCUGCAAGGUGAUGUCUGCUUAGCAACAGGUUCUGAGGUGACGCGUCUGGGGUGUCCCUGUCGGGAAGCCACGGCUCCGACCUGUCAGGUCAGCGUGACGAGGCUCUGCCUCCCGGCACACAGGCUUCUCGCACUAGCCAGGGGCCACCCCAGCAGCCCUCUGUGUGCUGGGGCUUAUGAAGGUGAACUAACUCUCCUUGGGCACGUCGAGACCACCCCUUUACGUGCUCACUUUAGCAGAGAUGGAUACAAUCCGUCAUGCUAACCAGCACGUUUCCACAGUGAUAACCACUUCCUGAAGCUGAUCUGCAGUCACGUAGGUGGUCUUCCGGGGUGGAGCAGUCAGCUCCACGCUCUUAUGGUCUCCUGGAAGCUACCAAAGUGUGAGUGCAAACUCUAAGGACCCUCAAUGAGUUCUCCGUCUCUGAGCCUGAAUUCCUCUGGAGCCACAUCUGGCUAGUAAGGACAUCAGGGACUCUUGCAAAUGAACAGUGCAGCCUCACUCCUCCUUCACGAAGGGGAGUCUUGCUGUGCUGUCUCACGGUGCUCCAGCUGCUCAGACUAAUGCUGUGGACGGGAUCACUUUCAAGCUGUAGAAGUCUACUGCCCUCAGUUCUGGCUCCUGGAGACCAAGGAACCUUCAGAUCCAGUGUCUGGCGAGGGGCCCACCGUGACCUCACGUGGAGGAAAGGGGAGGUGCUCUCUGGGCCUCUUCUGAUCCCAAGGGGUGGAGCCCUCAUGGCCUGGGCACCUCUGGACACCGCCCCCUUGGUGAUUGGGUCUCUACCUGUGGACUUCGGAGGCACACAAACUUUCAGCCCACAGCAGGGAUGCAGUGGCAAAAUGGAAGGGGGAGAAGGUGGCUCUUCUCCGAAUUUGAGGACAGUGAUCAGUCUGAGCCCUGGGGCUGCAACUCUCUGUGACCCUGGCCAGUCACUUGGCCAAAAUCCUCCUAACCUCAGGGGCUGGCCUGAGGGUCCCUCUGCCUUCCUUUCCUCCCAAGGUCCCGACUCUAAACUCAGCCCUGUCUCUCUCUACUUUUCCUGGAGGACGGGCAGGACAGCAGCAGGGCUUGGGACCGGAGGCUGCCUUCCGACCUGCUCCUCCAGGAGCCGGGAGCCCCUCAGAGUGCAGGCCUGAAAGCAAAGUCAUUGCUCCUGUUCUGAAAGAGAAAGAGCUGAAUCCUUCCCACACCAAGACCGAAGGGAGGGACGGAGAUGUCUUUGAAGCUACAACUGGACUCAGUGAAACUUCCACUCAGACGCCAAGUCUCUGUCGGCGCCAGCACUUCAGGAGAGCAGUGGACCUGCAGAGCACUGACCCCGGCUCUUCCUGCCCCCACCUCCUUCGCCAACUUCCCACCUGCAGAAGCAGCACUAACCCCAGGACCUGGGUGCAGACCUCCUCCCUGUUCCUCCCGUCCCAGCAAGGCACCAGGACACCUGCCCUGGACCCAGCCCCGCUUCCCAGAGCUCACCGUCCAACAGGGAGAAGCCCGGUCACCCAGGAGGUCUUUGCUCCUGAGCCAUCCCAACACACAGGCACAUCCACUCACAACUGGGGUAGCAUCUGAAAGUCAUCGCUCAACUCAGACAUUUGCUGUGUACUUCAAGGAAAAACAAAACUAAGCUGGGCAUGGUGGCCAUGCCUGUGAUCCCGGCCACUCAGGAGGGAGGCUGAGGGAGGAGGAUCGCAAGUUCAAAGACAGGCUCAACAACUUAGGGAGGAGCUAAGCAGCUUGGCAAGACCCUAAAUAAAAUAUAAACAGGCUGGGGGUGUGGCCCAGUGGUAAGCGUCCCUGGGUUCAAUCCCGGUAUCAAAAGAAAACAGAAUUAAAAGGUCUGAAA
rnacentral:lncRNA from 1 species